GACGAACGCUGGCGGCGUGCCUAAUACAUGCAAGUAGAACGCACAGUUUAUAUCGUAGCUUGCUACACCAUACACUGUGAGUUGCGAACGGGUGAGUAACGCGUAGGUAACCUGCCUGGUAGCGGGGGAUAACUAUUGGAAACGAUAGCUAAUACCGCAUAAUAUUGAUUAUUGCAUGAUAAUUGAUUGAAAGAUGCUAUUGCAUCACUACCAGAUGGACCUGCGUUGUAUUAGCUAGUAGGUGAGGUAACGGCUCACCUAGGCGACGAUACAUAGCCGACCUGAGAGGGUGAUCGGCCACACUGGGACUGAGACACGGCCCAGACUCCUACGGGAGGCAGCAGUAGGGAAUCUUCGGCAAUGGACGAAAGUCUGACCGAGCAACGCCGCGUGAGUGAAGAAGGUUUUCGGAUCGUAAAGCUCUGUUGUAAGAGAAGAACGGGUGUGAGAGUGGAAAGUUCACACUGUGACGGUAUCUUACCAGAAAGGGACGGCUAACUACGUG
rnacentral:rRNA from 1 species